UACGGGGGGAGCAAGCGUUGUUCGGAUUUACUGGGCGUAAAGGGCGCGUAGGCGGCCACGCACGUCCGUUGUGAAAUCGCUCGGCUCAACUGGGCGGGGUCAGCGGAUACGGUGUGGCUAGAGCAAGCUAGGGGGCAAUGGAAUUCCCGGUGUAGUGGUGGAAUGCGUAGAUAUCGGGAGGAACACCUGUGGCGAAAGCGGCGCACUGGACCACAACUGACGCUGAGGCGCGAAAGCUAGGGGAGCAAACAGG
rnacentral:rRNA from 1 species